rnacentral:rRNA from 1 species
GACAGAGGGUGCAAACGUUGUUCGGAAUUACUGGGCGUAAAGCGAGUGUAGGCGGUCUUCUAGGUCGGAUGUGAAAGCCCCGGGCUCAACCCGGGAAGUGCACUCGAAACUGGAAGGCUAGAGUAUCGGAGAGGUUGGCGGAAUUCUCGGUGUAGAGGUGAAAUUCGUAGAUAUCGAGAGGAACACCGGUGGCGAAGGCGGCCAACUGGACGAAUACUGACGCUGAGACUCGAAAGCGUGGGGAGCAAACAGG